rnacentral:rRNA from 1 species
AUUCCAGCUCCAAGAGCGUAUAUUAAAGUUGUUGCAGUUAAAAAGCUCGUAGUUGGAUUUCUGGUACAAUGCGCCUGGCCCGCGACGGUUACGUCUGUGAGUGCCGGUGCGCGUUUGCCAUCCUUCUAGAAAACGUUUCUACCCUUCGCUGGGCCGGAUUCGCGAUCUAGAUCUUUUACUUUGAAAAAAUUAGAGUGUUUAAAGCAGGCUUUUGCUAUGAAUACAUUAGCAUGGAAUAAUAAUCUAGGACUUCGGUUCUAUUUUGUUGGUUUCUAGUACUGAAGUAAUGAUUGAUAGGGAUAGUUGGGGGUGCUAGUAUUGACCGGCCAGAGGUGAAAUUCUUGGAUUCGGUCAAGACUAACUUAUGCGAAAGCAUUCACCAAGGAUGUCUUCAUUA